rnacentral:lncRNA from 1 species
ACCGAAAUAUCCGUGGGUGGAGCACAACCCGCCGUCCGUGCGCAUAAGGCCGCGGAACCGGCCGAAGGGGCGAGGGGGUUGGAGGCCACAGAUGGCAAGAAUGGGGUCAACCCGGCCAACGAGAGACGCCCCCCCCCCCAAGUCCGCACGUGCGCGGCCGCUAACACGACCGAAGGUGGACGGGGAGAUUGAGCGCUUGGACGGGGAGCGCGAGCUCAACCCAGCCAACGAACACCAUCCCACGUCUGCCCCCGUACAUUUCGGGCCAAUGCUGCACACCGGGGGAGGGGCACCCCAUACCAUCCCUGAGGGGGAUCUGGGCGAAUCCCACCCCGGGGGGUUCCAAAGUGCUGACCCGUAUUGCAAGCGGGGAGGGCCAGGACACGCUCCCCACGCACACGGGGAUACGGGGGGCAGGCGAUCGGGCAACGAGACCCGCGCGCCCGGGACAGGCAUCCAUGGUGAAGGGGUUGGGCAGCCCACAGCAAAGGGCCGAGCGAGUGGGGACGCGGAUGCCGAACCCCCUACCACCCCAGCGGGGCGUCCGGGCGGCUCCCACCUCGGGGGUUCCAAAUGAUCGAGCAGCAUCGCAAAUGGGGAGGGCCGGGACACGUGUCCCGCCUUUGUGGGCUUCGGAUGGUGGAUGGCCGGGCAUCGCAUCCCACGCACCGAGGGGGCUUGUCCCCGAGCAGACGGGCCGCGCAUCCCGCAUCCGUGGGCCAAGCCCGGGCUAAGCGGGAUGCGGAACCCCCUACCACCCUAGCGGGGCAUCCGGGCGGAUUCCACCCUGGGGGUUCCAAAUGAUCGAGCAGCAUUGCAAACGGGGAGGGCCGGGACGCGCGUCCCGCCUUCGCGGGAUUUGGACGCCGGGUGCCCGGGACUCGCAUCCCGUGCACCGAGGACUUGUCCCCGAGCGGCCGGGUCACGCAUCCCCC